rnacentral:lncRNA from 1 species
AGAGAAGUGAUGAGUGAAGAUGAAUAGUCAAAGAUAAGAAAUCUCAACUUAGCUUAGAAAAAGAUAAGAAAUGUGAGUAAAAGAUAAAAAUUAAAAAAGAACAUUGGGUACAUGUCAACUGCUAUUUCACUGUUGGCUGGCCUUGCGCCGGCCUGAUGCACCGUUUCCAUCACAACCUUUACUCUCUUUUCUACCGUCUUUUUUUUAUUGUAGCGGCUCUCAUC